AUUGAACGCUGGCGGCAGGCCUAACACAUGCAAGUCGAACGAGUGGCGGACGGGUGGGUAAGUGCUGAGCAACUGGCUGAUGGAUGGAGAUGACUACUGGAAACGGUAGAUACUAACGCAUACCAGCGGAUGUGCAGUGAUGGGAUUAGCUAGUAGGGGGGGUAAAGGCACACAUAGACGACGAUCCCGAGCUGGUCUGAGAGGAUGACCAGCCACACUGGAACUGAGACACGGUCCAGACUCCUACGGGAGGCAGCAUUGGGGAAGCUUGCACAAUGGGCGCAAGCCUGAUGCAGCCAUGCCGCGUGUAUGAAGAAGGCCUUCGGGUUGUAAAGUACUUUCAGCGGGGAGGCGUUACCCGCAGAAGAAGCACCGGCUAACUCCGUGCCAGCAGCCGCGGUAAUAC
rnacentral:rRNA from 1 species